rnacentral:lncRNA from 1 species
UUUAUUCUUACAUAUUAGGUUCUCUUCUCACCCAAACCCUUCUUUCAUAUUUCAUGUAUUUCCUUCAAUAUUUCAAUUUCUUUCUUUUUUGAAAUCCCUAAUAUUCUAAUCCUCUUUUUGUUUCUUUUCCGGCAACAGACAAGUAACAGAUUGAAGCGGCAAUGGAAGGAACCAAACAAAGACACACCGUCGGAACCACUAUUAGCAAGGACACAUAGCAGGAACCAGUUCAAGUGGUAUUAUUAUUAUUAUUAAUGAUUAUUUGUUUUUUUUAAUGAUGUUUUGGUUUGAUGGUUUGCUUUGUGACAAUUUUAGUUGAUGUUAAUUUUAUUGUUCUGUUAUUUAUA